CUCCAGCAGCCUGAAAAAUAUUAAUUUCCUGAGACUUGAGAUGUAUUCAAAGGUACCACUGGCUGGAG
rnacentral:snoRNA from 1 species